CUUCCUGUUUUUCCUCCUGCUCCCCAAAUGCUACUGGUUACUCUUCAGCAAUUUAGGAAAUAAUAGAAAAAGGGAGUGGAUAAAUCAGGAACUCCUUAAGAGAUCAGUAGAACAGAACCUAGCAGAUGAUGGGGCUGUGGGCAGGGAAAAAGCAGGGUUGGUGGAUGACUCCAUAUUUUGGUGUCAGCACCUGGGGGUUCAUAAUGCUAGUAGCCUGAGCAGGAAUCCUAGAGAGGGAACAGCAUGAGAGCAGAGCUCAGCUCUAGGUGUGUUGAGUUUGAAAGUCUUCAUGAGAUGCCAAAGAAGUGUUGUUGUGAAGGGUUUGUUGUUAUCCGUCCAGAGUUAUGCUAAGAGAUCAGGGUUGAGAUACAUACUUAGUUGUCAUCAACAUAGAGAUGGAAAUCCAGCCAUCUGUGGGUGUGGAUUGGAUUGCUUAAGACAUGUUUGUAGUGUGAGAUGACAAGUGGGCUCAGGCUAGAGUCCUGAGCAGCCCCAAUUUCUUAGGGAUGGGUCAAGGAGGAAGUAAAAUAAAAACAGCCACAGAGGUAGAAUAAAACUUGGCACAGUGCCUUUGUUCAUACUGAUCCCUUUAUCUGGAGUCACUUCUCUCUCUUCUUUGCAUGGUACAAUACAGCUGAGGACAUCUCAGAUGUCUCUUUGGUAAGGCAAACUUCUUGAUUAAUUCGUUACUUCCCCAAGUGUCAUCGACAUUUCUUUUCGCUCUUUUCUCUGCUUCUACAAUAUUCUAAACAAAAGCAAAAAUGAAACCGUGAGCAUGGCGACGGACAACAUCUCCCACCCCCACCCCCAUUAUUUUCUGGGCUAAUGCAGGUAAGAAUGACAGGUGAUUCUAAUUCAUGUGCAUUUCCUAGCACCAAGAGGCAGGUACAAAAUGGCUAGUAAGUGUUGAAUUAAUUGUGUUUGCUUGUUGAAAACUUUGUUCUUCGUUCUGACAGAUUGAGGUCUGGUGGGACACAUUGUUCCGAAAAAAAAAAAAAUCCAUAUGUUUUUUAGAACUCAUGUUUUACAAUGAAAUAUAUUUCUUGUACAAUAGUGCAAGUUAAUUAGUUUGUUAUUAUUCAUGCCACACCUACUUCCAAAAAGAAUUUGAGAUAUCGUGCCAUGAGUCACAUGAAUAAUUGCAUCUUUAAAAACAGCAUGAAAGCAUCAUGCAAUGGGAAAAGGUGAUAGCAUUAUAUGAUAAGUUUGGCCAUGCCGAGUUUCUGCAACUCAGAUGAAGAGUUUGCAUUUCUUAGCAGAAAAGAACUGAGAAGUCAUCCGCCCGUGCAAAAUGAAGAUUCGUUUUUAAGGUCAAAGAGCUGGGUGGAGAUCAUCCCUCCUGGUCUUGCCCAAGGCCAUCAGCAAAACCCAAGAUGGCUCCUGUUUUCCCCUACAAAAACAACAGCAGAAACGUGGGUGUACUUGUUGCCUCUUCUCCAAUAAUUUGACAAGACCAACGACAACAAAAAUGACAUGUCCCUAAAUUGUGGACAUGUGGACGUAUUUCUCUCAUUACUCAAUAACCAGCCAGGGAGAAGCAACUACAGCUGUGACAAGAGAUAAGAGGCAAAACAAACAAACAAACAAAACAAAAAACAAAAACCAUGGACAAUCACAGAAGGCCCUGCACUUCAAAGUUCUUAGGCUUCGAUUUUUACUUUUCUGUUACAAUCUUUAUGCUUUUACCAAUUUUUGAAAAAAGGACCUCAUGUUGUCAUUUUUUACUGGGACCAGAAAAUAAUGUAGCCAGUACUGCCUUGAAAAUGUAUUGUUAAGUAUGAAAAGAAGUACAGAAUGGGACCGGUGCUAUGGUUUAGUGGGUUAAGACGCCACCUGCAGUACUGACAUCCCAUAUGGGUACUGGUUUGAGUCUCAGCUGCUCCACUUAAAUGUAAGACCUCUCUAUCUCUCUCUGUCUCUCCUUCUCUCUCUCUGUGUAAUUCUGACUUUCUAAUAAAUAAAUAAAUCUUAAAAGAUACUAAUUCCAUAUACACCCAAUACUUGGAUUGCUGGACCAUAUAAUUCUAUUUCUAGCUUUUUGAGGAAACUCCAUACUAUUUUCCAUAAUGACUGUGCAAUUCAAUCACAUUCCCACCAAGAGUGUGUGAGAGUUCCCUUUCUCUGUGACCUGGUCAGAAGUUGUUGUUUUAGUCUUUUUGUGAAAGCCAUUGUUGCUUUAAUUUGCAUUUCUCUGAUGAUUAGUGAUGUCGAACAUUUGUCAUAUAUUACCUUGUCAUUUGUAUAUCUUCCUUUAAAUGCAUAGUCAGGCCAUUUGCCCACUUUUAAUCAGAAUAUUUAUUGUUUUUGCUUGCCGAAUUGAUUGAGUUUCUUAUAUGCUCUGGAUAUUAAGCCUUUAUUGGAUGAAUAAUUUGCAAAUAUUUUCUCCCAUCCUGUUGAUCAUCUCUUCACUUUGUUGAUUGUUUCCUUUGCUGUACAAAAGCUUUUUAGUUUGAUGUAAUACUGUUUCUGCUUUUGUUGUCUGCGUUUUUGGGAUCAUAUCCAAAAAAAUCUUUGCUUAGAUUAAUGUCCUAAAGUAUUCCCCCUAUGUUUUCUUCUAGUAAUUCCGUAGUUUCAAAUAUUAUAGAUAAACCUUUGAUCCAGUCAAUUUUUGUAUGUGGUAAGAGAUAGAGGUCUAGUUUGUUCUUCUGAAUAAGGAUAUCCAGUUUUCUCAGUACCAUUGAUUUAAGAGACUGACCAUUCUCGAAUGAAUGUUAUUGCUGUCUUUGUUGAAAUACAUGGAUUUAUUUCUGGUUUCUUUAUCUGUUCCAUUAGUCUAUUUAUCUGCUUUUAUGCCAGUGUGUUUCUGGUUUUGUUACUAUAGCUUUGUGGUAUGUUUUGAAAUCAGAUAUUGUAAUGACUACAGCUUUAUUCUUUUUGCUCAGAAUUGCUCUCACUGUUUGGGAUUUUUUGUGUGUGUGUGGCUCCAUACAUACUUUAGGAGUAUUUUACUUUCUAUUUCUACCAAUGACACUUUAGAAGGAAUUGCAUGGAAUCUGUAGGUUUGGAUAGUAUGGAGAUUUAAAAAUAUUAAUUCUUUAUCCAUGAACAUGGUAGGUCUUUCUAUUUUGGGGAGUCCCCACAGGUUUCUCUCAUUAGACUUUUACAAUGAUCAUUCGUUACCUUGGUUAAAUUUAUUCCUAUGUAUUUUAAAAUAAUUAUUGUGAUUGGAAUUGCUUUAUUGAUUUCUUAACUAUUUUUAUUCAUGUAUAAAAAUGCUACUUAUUUUUAUAUGUUGAUUUUGUAUCCUCAACCCAACCUUACUGAAUUUGCUUCUAAGUUUUAACACUUUUUUGGUAUAAUUAACCUACAAUAAAAUUUGUCAUUUUAGGUGCAUCCUUGGCAAAAUUUUGUAGUUGUGCAACAUGUUUUAUUUUUUAUUUUUUUA